GAGAGUAAAACAGUACGUGAAAUUGUUGAAAGGGAAACGCUUGAAGUCAGUCGUGCCGGCGUUGGAUUCAGCUUGCUUCGCGGAGCAGGCGUAUUUCCAUGCAUGGCAGGUCAGCGUCAGUUUUGCGCGGCGUGAAAAGGCUCGGGUAAGGUAGCUCUCUUCGGGGAGUGUUAUAGACCUGGGCAGAUGCGCUGCGCGGGACUGAGGAUUGCAGCGGACACCCCCUCGGGGGCGCGGCGACCGAACCCUGCUCGGCCACCCUCGUUCGAUAGCGUGCUAGCGGACGCGGGAGCGGCAGUGCACCGGAACAGGCAAGCCAGCGGUUCGCUAAGGAUGCUGACGUAAUGGCUUUAAACGA
rnacentral:rRNA from 1 species